UACGUAGGGUGCGAGCGUUGUCCGGAAUUAUUGGGCGUAAAGAGCUCGUAGGCGGUCUGUCGCGUCGGUCGUGAAAACUUGGGGCUUAACCCUGAGCUUGCGGUCGAUACGGGCAUGACUGGAGUUCGGCAGGGGAGACUGGAAUUCCUGGUGUAGCGGUGAAAUGCGUAGAUAUCGGGAGGAACACCAGUGGCGAAGGCGACUACCUGGCCUGUUCUUGACGCUGAGGCGCGAAAGCUGGGGGAGCAAACGGG
rnacentral:rRNA from 1 species